rnacentral:rRNA from 1 species
AAUGAACGCUGGCGGCGUGCCUAACACAUGCAAGUCGAACGAGAGUACAGGAGCUUGCUCCUGGGCUCUAGUGGCAGACGGGUGAGUAACGCGUGGACAAUCUACCUCCGAGCGGGGGAUACCCAACCGAAAGGUUGGUUAAUACCGCAUAACACUCCAGGUACUUAGGUACUUGGGCUCAAAGUUGGGGACUCGAGAAAUCGGGCCUGACACUUGGAGAGGAGUUCGCGUCAGAUUAGCUAGUUGGUGGGGUAACGGCCUACCAAGGCAACGAUCUGUAGCCGGCCUGAGAGGGUGAUCGGCCACACUGGAACUGAGACACGGUCCAG